AAAUGGUCAUUAAAAUAAUGUGCGCUAGCCACUGAGUUGCCCGGUUUCAAAAUGGCGACCAUGCCUCUUUGCUGGCAAGCAUCUCAGUGCGACUGCG